GAGUUUGAUCGUGGCUCAGGAUGAACGCUGGCGGCGUGCCUAACACAUGCAAGUCGAACGAAGAACCCUUGACGGAGUUUUCGGACAAAGGAGAGGAAUUCUUAGUGGCGGACGGGUGAGUAACGCGUGAGUAACCUGCCUUGGAGUGGGGAAUAACACAGUGAAAAUUGUGCUAAUACCGCAUAAAGCAGUUGAGUCGCAUGACUCUGACUGCCAAAGAUUUAUCGCUCUGAGAUGGACUCGCGUCUGAUUAGUUAGUUGGCGGGUAACGGCCCACCAAGACGACGAUCAGUAGCCGGACUGAGAGGUUGACCGGCCACAUUGGGACUGAGAUACGGCCCAGACUCCUACGGGAGCAGCAGUGGGAAUAUUGGGCAAUGGGCGAAAGCCUGACCCAGCAACGCCGCGUGAAGGAGAAGGC
rnacentral:rRNA from 1 species